GCUCUGUUAGUUAAAGAAGAACACGUAUGAGAGUAACUGUUCAUACGUUGACGGUUAUUUAACCAGAAAGUCACGGCUAACUACGUGCCAGCAGCCGCGGUAAUACGUAGGUGGCAAGCGUUAUCCGGAUUUAUUGGGCGUAAAGAGAGUGCAGGCGGUUUUCUAAGUCUGAUGUGAAAGCCUUCGGCUUAACCCGGAGAAGUGCAUCGGAAACUGGAUAACUUGAGUGCAGAAGAGGGUAGUGGAACUCCAUGUGUAGCGGUGGAAUGCGUAGAUAUAUGGAAGAACACCAGUGGCGAAGGCGGCUACCUGGUCUGCAACUGACGCUGAGACUCGAAAGCAUGGGUAGCGAACAGGAUUAGAUACCCUGGUAG
rnacentral:rRNA from 1 species